UCAAACUUUAACUCUCAAUAACUUUUGAUCCGGAGCUCCGAUUGACGAACCGUUUGUGACUACACGUUUACCGCGACGAGCUCUACGAAACCCAUAGAACAAUUUGGUAGGUUCAAGUUAGCUUCCGGAAUUUAUGGGUUCAAGCUAUUGAGCAUAUGGGUAUGAUGCAAGUCGAGAGGCUCCUCGCUAGGCGUCUGGAUCCUAGAAAGCAAAAUAGUCCUUGGGUGUAUUUUGGCUUCUGGCUGUAUAUAUGUAUAUAUGUGUUUAGCUUACUCUCCAAGUAACUUAUGUAUGCUGCUCCUCUUAGAGGUUGAGGGAGAGAUAGGAGUUAUUUUGAUAUUAUAGUGUAUUUUGGGAUAUUUUGAGAACACUUAUGUAUGUUUAUAUGUAUAUAUAUACCCUCCGGCCAGCCUUAGCUUCGCAGGCUGAGUCAGGGGCUAGUUAUGCUGCU